rnacentral:rRNA from 1 species
UACGUAGGGUGCGAGCGUUGUCCGGAAUUAUUGGGCGUAAAGAGCUCGUAGGCGGUGUGUCACGUCGGCCGUGAAAACCUGCAGCUUAACUGUGGGCGUGCGGUCGAUACGGGCAUCACUGGAGUUCGGCAGGGGAGACUGGAAUUCCUGGUGUAGCGGUGAAAUGCGCAGAUAUCAGGAGGAACACCGGUGGCGAAGGCGGGUCUCUGGGCCGAUACUGACGCUGAGGAGCGAAAGCCAGGGGAGGCAAACGGG